rnacentral:rRNA from 1 species
CAACGCUGGCUAAGGAACUCGGCAAAAUAGCACCGUAACUUCGGGAGAAGGUGUGCCCGCCGACGUGAUAGAACUUGCUUCCUGAGCGUUGGCGGGUCGCAGUGAAAUGGGGGUUGCGACUGUUUACUAAAAACACAGGACUGUGCGAACUCGUAAGGGGACGUAUACGGUCUGACGCCUGCCCGGUGCUGGAAGGUUAAGGGGAGAGGUUAGCGCAAGCGAAGCUUCGAACCGAAGCCCCAGUAAACGGCGGCCGUAACAAUAACGGUCCUAAGGUAGCGAAGUUCCUUGUCGGGUAAGUUCCGACCUGCACGAGUGGCGUAACGACAUCCCUACUGUCUCGGCCAGCGACUCAGCGAAUUUGUAUCGGGGGUGAAGAUACCCUCUACCCGCGGCAAGACGGAAAGACCCCAUGAACCUUUACUGCAACUUGGCAGUGAGGUUCGGAACAAUCUGCGUAGGAUAGGUAGGAGGCUUUGAAGUCGGGAUUCCGGUCUCGAUGGAGCCGUCGUUGAAAUACUACCCUGGCUUUUCUGGACUUCUAACCUAGGCCCCUCAACGGGGUCGGGGACACUGCCUGGUGGGCAGUUUGACUGGGGCGGUCGCCUCCCAAACAGUAACGGAGGCGCGCGAAGGUACCCUCAGGCUGAUUGGAAACCAGCCGGCGAGUGCAAUGGCACAAGGGUGCUUAACUGUGAGAGGGACACCUCGAGCAGGUGCGAAAGCAGGCCAUAGUGAUCCGGUGGUCCCGCAUGGAAGGGCCAUCGCUCAUCGGACAAAAGGUACUCUGGGGAUAACAGGCUGAUCGCGCCUGAGAGUCCAUAUCGGCGGCGCGGUUUGGCACCUCGAUGUCGGCUCAUCGCAUCCUGGGGCUGGAGCAGGUCCCAAGGGUUUGGCUGUUCGCCAAUUAAAGCGGUACGCGAGCUGGGUUUAGAACGUCGUGAGACAGUUCGGUCCCUAUCUGCCGUGGGCGCAGGAUACUUGAGAGGAGCUGUUCAUAGUACGAGAGGACCUGAACGGACGCACCUCUAGUGUUCCGGUUGUCAUGCCAAUGGCAUAGCCGGGUAGCUAUGUGCGGAACGGAUAACCGCUGAAAGCAUCUAAGCGGGAAGCCGGCCUCAAGACAAGGUAUCCCGGGGCAUAAGCCCCCUGAAGGCCCCUUGAAGACUACAAGGUGAUAGGCGGGAGGUAGAAGCGCAGCGAUGCGCGGAGCUGACCCGUACUAAUAGGCCGUGCGGCUUGACCUU